GUAGGUGGCAAGCGUUGUCCGGAAUUAUUGGGCGUAAAGCGCGCGCAGGCGGUUCUUUAAGUCUGAUGUGAAAGCCCACGGCUCAACCGUGGAGGGUCAUUGGUAACUGGAGAACUUGAGUACAGAAGAGGAAAGCGGAAUUCCACGUGUAGCGGUGAAGUGCGUAGAGAUGUGGAGGAACACCAGUGGCGAAGGCGGCUUUCUGGUCUGUAACUGACGCUGUGGCGCGAAAGCGUGGGGAGCAAACAGGGAUUAGAUACCCUGGUAGUCCACGCCGUAAACGAUGAGUGCUAAGUGUUAGGGGGGGUUUUCCGCCCCCCUUAGUGCUGCAGCUAACGCAUUAAGCACUCCGCCUGGGGAGUACGGCCGCAAGGCUG
rnacentral:rRNA from 1 species